rnacentral:rRNA from 1 species
CCCCUAGUAACUGCGAGUGAAGUGGGAAAAGCUCAAAUUUGAAAUCUGGCAGUUUUUGACUGUCCGAGUUGUAAUCUAGAGAAGUGUCACCUGUGCUGGACCAUGUACAAGUCUCCUGGAAUGGGGCAUCAUAGAGGGUGAGAAUCCCGUCUUUGACAUGGACUGCCUGCGCGUAAUGGUAUGCUCUCAAAGAGUCGAGUUGUUUGGGAAUGCAGCUCAAAAUGGGUGGUAAAUGCCAUCUAAAGCUAAAUAUUGGCGAGAGACCGAUAGCGAACAAGUACCGUGAGGGAAAGAUGAAAAGAACUUUGGAAAGAGAGUUAAACAGUACGUGAAAUUGCUAAAAGGGAAACACUUGAAGUCAGUCCACAUUGGCUAGGAAUCAGCCUUGCUUCUGCUUGGUGUACUUUCUAGCUGAUGGGUCAGCAUCAAUUUUGGCCAUUGGAUAAAGUCUCUGGGAAUGUGGCAUCUUCUAGAUGUGUUAUAGCCCAUUGUCGCAUACAGUGGUUGGGAUUGAGGAACUCAGCACGCCGCAAGGCCGGGUUUCGACCACGUUCGUGCUUAGGAUGCUGGCAUAAUGGCUUUAAUUGACCCGUCUUGAAACACGGACCAAGGAGUCUAACAUGCCUGCGAGUGUUUGGGUGGAAAACCCAUACGCGCAAUGAAAGUGAAAGUUGAGAUCCCUGUAAAGAGGAGCAUUGACGCCCAGACCAGACCUUCUGUGACGGAUCUGCGGUAAA